GACCCCUGAAGACACCAACUGCCACAAGUCAAGAUGCCUCUAACAAGUAAAGAAAAAGUGGCUCGCCACAGAGCGCGGGUUAAUGCAGAUCCUGCUGCAAGGGCAAAUUAUCUGACUAAAAGAAAGCGAAGCACCAGCUGAUUUUAGCUCUGCUGAAGAGGAACAACUGAUUGAAAUGACCUCUGACUCCACCCUGAGGUUAAGAUUUACAUCUGAGACACUCAGUCAAUUUUGGCUUGAAGUGGAAAGGCAGUCCACUCAUUGGGCAGAGAGCUGUGGGCAUUCUUCUUCCCUUUGCCACAUCCUAUCUCUGUGAGAUCGGCUUUCUAGCGGUUGCUUCACUGAAAACAAAGUACAGAUCUCAUCUUGACAUUGAGCAUGACUUCAGAGUGGCUGUAUCAAGCAUUC